UGGGUGAAAAGGUAUCUCAAGGCUGGAGUGCACCAGUGUAAAACUGCAUUCAUUCUACAGCGUAAAUGAAACCCAUGCUCCUUUCGUUGUCAGCACCUUGUAAAUUCAUACACUCCCAAUGGUUGCUUGCCCUCUCUCUCCAAGUCUCUCUGAUCUCAUCUGUGACUCCAGAAACCAAAACUCACCACUUCUCAUACCAAUAGACCCACCUUUGGAUAAACAUUGGAAACGGGCACAAUUUAUAAAGCACUGCACCUUUUAAUGAACUUGUCAAAUCAUCAGGAAACAAACAUUGGGGAAAGCAGUAUAUUUUUUGGCAAACAAUCUGUGCUGCUUGAACAGUCAAUAGUUAGAGUUAUAAUGAACCGCAGGUUGAGUUAUGCUUGCAGUGGAUCUUUGCAAUAGUUUUGAAUAAUGAUCAAACUCAGAAAACCCAAGUCUGAUUAAUGCCUAUGGGUACAGAGCCAUUUGUUAAGCCUUGGUCUUUGAAUUUGAUGUUAUUUGUAGCAAAUGGAUGAGGGUGAAGGAGAUAUGUUCUUGUAGUCUCAAUGAUCUUUGGGGGGAAAAGGAACAACUGAUCGUUCAACAGCUUUGUGUGUGUAAACCUGGGCUUCUGCUAAUUUAAAAAUAACACUCCACGUUUUAGACAAAAGCUUUCAUUAUGAAGCUGUGUUCUGAAAACUUCUCUGUGGCUAGAAGUUGGCAUGAUUUUUAUUUACAUACAGGCUUGGUUCAUGUUCAUGUGUUUAUGGGCUGGGGCUGCAUUUAGUUCCAAUGGGUUUGCUUCCCAUCGAGGAGAUGGAUUCACACAAUAGUGGCAGGCUGAGAGCUGUUAAUCUGAGGUUAAGUGUAAUUGUUUUUUCACCACAACGCAGAUACUUUGACAGGAGCAAAGCCAAAGAAAUAUUGAAACAGCCGUUGCUUGGUACUGAAUGCCAAAAUGACUUGCCAUUAAAAAAUAGACUAUGACCAAGUCCUGAGUUUUAAAUGGUACAACUUUGGUGUUGAAUGAAUUCUGCUAUUUUAUAUGCAUGGCAGGGCUCUUUUAUAUUGUCUUUAUUUGUUUUCUGCUUCUCCGGAAACAGGAACAUUAGGCACUUAACUCAAAUUGCAAGACACUACCUAACCUUAGGACAAACUUCCUAACAGAAAGAGUUGUUCCACAGCUGAAUAGGAUGCGUUAGAUUGUGAUGGGUUUUCCUUCUUUCUAGGUGUCCAGUUUUGGUCCUUCAAGAACAGCCUUAACACACUGUGGGCUCUGAAAGAGAAACAUUCGAUGGCCCAAUGCUUCAUGGUUGGAGAACGUGGCAGAGCAAAGCAGAACAGCUACAAGUACGUGAAUACGCAAUGAUUUAAUCGCGUGAACAAUUGACAUUUUAAAAAUCAUUGUCAUGAAAUGUAUAUGCUUGACAGAGCUGAAAUACCUAGUGCUAGUAAGGAGUAUGCGUUGUAAAGAAGGAAGACAUUUUAACUGUGAAAUUACCUGUCUCCAUUUUGGUAUUUUCUACAUUUUGCCCGGGAUCUAUGAAUUUAGUCCCCUGAUUUUAAUAUUGCUUGAUUCAUGCUCAUUUUAAUGAUUGUUUUUAUUGAUGUUGAUGUUUUUAUUAGGUUAAUUGUGUUAUGGUUUUGUGAUUGGUUUUUUGAUUGUUGUAUUGGGCAUGGCCCCAUGUGAGCCGCCCCGAGUCCCUUCGGGGAGAUGGGGCGGGGUAUAAAAAUAAAGUUAUUAUUAUUAUUAUUA